rnacentral:rRNA from 1 species
UUAUGUGAUCGUCUCUCGCAUAUCAAUAAGCGGAGGAAAAGAAACUAACAAGGAUUCCCCUAGUAACGGCGAGUGAAGCGGGAAGAGCUCAAAUUUGAAAUCUUAAAGGGUUUCCCUUUACGAAUUGUAGUUUAAAGAAGUGUUUUCUGUUGAGGUUUUGGUAAAAGUUCUUUGGAAUAGGACAUCAUAGAGGGUGAGAAUCCCGUAUUUGACCUUUACUUUCAACUUUGUGAUACACUUUCAAAGAGUCGGAUUGUUUGGGAAUGCAGUCCAAAAUGGGUGGUAAAUUUCAUCUAAAGCUAAAUAUUGGCGAGAGACCGAUAGCGAACAAGUACCGUGAGGGAAAGAUGAAAAGAACUUUGAAAAGAGAGUUAAACAGUACGUGAAAUUGUCAAAAGGGAAGCGUUUGACACCAGUGUUGUUUUUCUGAAAAUCAAUUAAAGAACUGUUUAUGCUAAGUUGUUUAGACUUUAUCAGCUAUACUGCUUAGUUUUGAGCUUUUCUUUAAUGCACUUUUCAGUUAACAAGUCAACAUCAAUUUCUUUUGCUGUAAAAAAGCUUGAGGAAGGUGGCUUGAGAUUCGUCUUAAGUGUUUAUAGCCUCUUGCCUAUGCAGUCGGAGAGAUUGAGGUCUGCAGCGUAGAUCCUUCGGGGCUAACUGCAUUUGUGCUAAGUUAUAGCAUUUUAUAGACAACUUGUUGACUAUGAUUUGUCUUGUAGCUUACUCGCUUAUGUUAUUUUACCUACGCUUAGGAUGUUGACACACGCGCGUGCUCG